GACGAACGCUGGCGGCGCGCCUAACACAUGCAAGUCGAACGGAGUUGAGAGGAGCUUGCUUUUCUCAACUUAGUGGCGAACGGGUGAGUAACGCGUGAGUAACCUGCCCUGGAGUGGGGGACAACAGUUGGAAACGACUGCUAAUACCGCAUAAGCCCACGGUACCGCAUGGUACUGAGGGAAAAGGAUUUAUUCGCUUCAGGAUGGACUCGCGUCCAAUUAGCUAGUUGGUGAGGUAACGGCCCACCAAGGCGACGAUUGGUAGCCGGACUGAGAGGUUGAACGGCCACAUUGGGACUGAGACACGGCCCAGACUCCUACGGGAGGCAGCAGUGGGGGAUAUUGCACAAUGGGGGAAACCCUGAUGCAGCGACGCCGCGUGGAGGAAGAAGGUUUUCGGAUUGUAAACUCCUGUCGUUAGGGACGAUAAUGACGGUACCUAACAAGAAAGCACCGGCUAACUACGUGCCAGCAGCCGCGGUAA
rnacentral:rRNA from 1 species